GACGAACCGAGCGAACGUUGUUCGGAAUCACUGGGCUUAAAGGGCGCGUAGGCGGGCUGUCAAGUCUGGGGUGAAAUCCCACGGCUCAACCGUGGAACUGCCUUAGAUACUGACGGCCUCGAGGGAGAUAGGGGCGAGCGGAACUGUGAGUGGAGCGGUGAAAUGCGUUGAUAUUCACAGGAACUCCGGUGGCGAAGGCGGCUCGCUGGAUCUUUUCUGGCGCUGAGGCGCGAAAGCUAGGGGAGCAAACGGG
rnacentral:rRNA from 1 species